UUUAGAUGGGCUGAGAUGGCGUGUGUUUGAUGCAAAGGGUCAGGUGCUUGGACCGUUGGACGGUUGGCAUCUCAGAUAGUUGUUGUGCUUCAAGGAAAGGACAAGCCAACUUAUGCACCACAUGUGGAAUGCCGUACUACAAAAGAUAUCAGUGUUACAGGGAGAAAAAUGGCUGAUCAGAUUUACUACUGCCACACUGGGAAAGGAGGCUUAAGGACCAGAUGGAAAAGGACCCAAAUGAGGUGAUUCACAAAGCUGUGAUGUGCAUGCGUCCCCGUAAUAGGUUGCAUGAUGAUAGGGAUCACAAACUGGGGAUAUUUUCUGGAAGUGAGCAUCCAUUCCAUGAUCGGCCUCUUGAACCUUUUGUGAUGCCACCACAACAAGUGCGCGUGAGACGCGCCUCCCGGGCAAGACGGGCACUUAUUAGGGCUCAGAAGAAAGAGCUGGACAGAGCAGCAUGAGCAACCAAAGAUGACAAGGAUGCAAAGAAUGCCAAAACUGAUGUCACUUCAUAGGCAUCUCCAGAUGUUUUUGGCAUGUAGCCUGCUGAGUUGAAUAGGCACUGGGAGUCCAGAACCAUGUAACCUGGAGAUGAACUGCCCAAUCUGAAUGCCUUUCUAUAUCAUAUACUGCAUACAAUAUCCAAAGUGUGUUGCUCUUUCCUCCAAGGGAGUAAACUUCUUAUCUGAAUUUUUGUUC